rnacentral:rRNA from 1 species
GACGAACGCUGGCGGCGUGCCUAACACAUGCAAGUCGAACGAAGAAUGUUUUUCGGAAUAUUCUUAGUGGCGGACGGGUGAGUAACGCGUGAACAAUCUGCCCCGUACAAAGGGAUAGCCUCGGGAAACCGGGAUUAAAACCAUAUAACACUUAACUGCCGCAUGGUAGUGAAGUCAAAUCGAUUAAGAGGUAUGGGAUUAGUUCGCGUCUGAUUAGCUAGUUGGUGAGGUAAGGGCUCACCAAGGCGACGAUCAGUAGCCGGCCUGAGAGGGUGAACGGCCACACUGGAACUGAGACACGGUCCAGACUCCUACGGGAGGCAGCAGUGGGGAAUAUUGCACAAUGGAGGGAACUCUGAUGCAGCGACGCCGCGUGAGUGAAGAAGGUCUUCGGAUCGUAAAACUCUGUCCUUGGUGAAGAAAGGACGGUAGCCAAGGAGGAAGCCCCGGCUAACUACGUG